rnacentral:rRNA from 1 species
AGGGUUUGAUCCUGGCUCAGAACGAACGCUGGCGGCAGGCCUAACACAUGCAAGUCGAGCGCACCCUUCGGGGCGAGCGGCGGACGGGUUAGUAACGCGUGGGAACAUACCCUUCUCUACGGAAUAGCCUCGGGAAACUGAGAGUAAUACCGUAUACGCCCUUCGGGGGAAAGAUUUAUCGGAGAAGGAUUGGCCCGCGUUAGAUUAGAUAGUUGGUGGGGUAAUGGCCUACCAAGUCUACGAUCUAUAGCUGGUUUUAGAGGAUGAUCAGCAACACUGGGACUGAGACACGGCCCAGACUCCUACGGGAGGCAGCAGUGGGGAAUCUUAGACAAUGGGCGCAAGCCUGAUCUAGCCAUGCCGCGUGUGUGAUGAAGGUCUUAGGAUCGUAAAGCACUUUCGCCAGAGAUGAUAAUGACAGUAUCUGGUAAAGAAACCCCGGCUAACUCCGUGCCAGCAGCCGCGGUAAUACGGAGGGGGUUAGCGUUGUUCGGAAUUACUGGGCGUAAAGCGUACGUAGGCGGAUCAGAAAGUAGGGGGUGAAAUCCCAGGGCUCAACCCUGGAACUGCCUCCUAAACUCCUGGUCUUGAGUUCGAGAGAGGUGAGUGGAAUUCCAAGUGUAGAGGUGAAAUUCGUAGAUAUUUGGAGGAACACCAGUGGCGAAGGCGGCUCACUGGCUCGAUACUGACGCUGAGGUACGAAAGUGUGGGGAGCAAACAGGAUUAGAUACCC